CUACUACUGCUGCUGAUGAUAGAGGCGAUGGUAAUGGUUAUUACUAUUAUGAUGAUCAUAUAUGUUGCUUCUGAUGAUGAUGAAGCUUCUAAUGACCAUGUAUUUUCUCCUAAGAUACCUCUAUAUAAUCCCUUGCACCCUAAGAACCGCCCCCCCCCCCCCCCUCUCUAUCUCUCUCUCUCUCACUCUUACACACAAUGCAUCUCUCUAUAUGUGUCAUUAUUUCACUUCUAGGUCCUGGCCUGGCGUUUAUCGUGUACCCACAAUCCAUCUCUCUAUAUGUAUCAUCAUUUCACUUCUAGGUCCUGGCCAUGCGUUUAUCGUGUACACACAAUGCAUCUCUCUAUAUGUGUCAUUAUUUCACUUCUAGGUCCUGGCCUGGCGUUUAUCGUGUACCCACAAUCCAUCUCUCUAUAUGUAUCAUCAUUUCACUUCUAGGUCCUGGCCAUGCGUUUAUUGUGUACCCGCAAUCCAUCUCUCUAUAUGUACCAUCAUUUCACUUCUAGGUCCUGGUCUGGCGUUUAUCGUGUACCCACAAUCCAUCUCUCUAUAUGUAUCAUCAUUUCACUUCUAGGUCCUGGUCUGGCGUUUAUCGUGUACCCACAAUCCAUCUCUCUAUAUGUAUCAUCAUUUCACUUCCAGGUCCUGGUCUGGCGUUUAUCGUGUACCCACAAUCCAUCUCUCUAUAUGUAUCAUCAUUUCACUUCUAGGUCCUGGUCUGGCGUUUAUUGUGUACCCUCAAUCCAUCUCUCUAUAUGUAUCAUCAUUUCAUUUCUAGGACCUGGCCUGGCGUUUAUCGUGUACCCGGAAGCCAUCUCUCUAUAUGUAUCAUAAUUUCACUUCUAGGUCCUGGCCUGGCGUUUAUCGUGUACCCAGAAGCCAUCUCUCUGUUACCUCUUCCACAACUGUGGGCCGUCAUCUUCUUCCUGAUGCUCAUCACAGUAGGACUGGACACACAGUUUGGCUGUGUGGAAACCUUUAUGCACGCUCUUCUUGAUGGCUUUCCGCGCCUGCGAAAACACAGAUUGUUGGUGACGGCGGCCACAACGAGCAUGUUGUUUGCUUCAUCACUUAUUCUGGUAUCACAGGGUGGAGUGUACAUCUUUCAGCUGACAGACUGGUAUUUCUGUACCUUCUCUCUGUUAUUCAUAUCAUCGCUGGAAUGCCUUGCAGUUGGAUGGGGGCUAUGGUGCUAGACGUUUCGGAGACGACAUUAAGAUGAUGCUUGGGUGGAGACCUCCAGCUGUGUACAACAUCUUCUGUUUCGUCAUAGCACCCACAAUGCUGAUGAGAUUAAGACAGAUGUUGGAACCUGACACAACAUGGGGACCACGUCACGACACCGAGUUCAUGACGUACAGCAAAACGUCAACCUUUAAACGCCGGACAUUUCGAGAAAACGCGUGUGAUAUACUCAACAUUCGUG
rnacentral:misc_RNA from 1 species